GAUGAAGAACGCAGCGAAAUGCGAUAAGUAGUGUGAAUUGCAGAAUUCAGUGAAUCAUCGAAUCUUUGAACGCACAUUGCGCCCCUUGGUAUUCCAUGGGGCAUGCCUGUUCGAGCGUCAUUUGUACCUUCAAGCUCUGCUUGGUGUUGGGUGUUUGUCUCGCCUCUGCGUGUAGACUCGCCUCAAAACAAUUGGCAGCCGGCGUAUUGAUUUCGGAGCGCAGUACAUCUCGCGCUUUGCACUCAUAACGUCGACGUCCAAAAGUACAUUUUUACACUCUUGACCUCGGAUCAGGUAGGGAUACCCGCUGAACUUAAGCAUAUCAAUAAGCGGAGGA
rnacentral:misc_RNA from 1 species